rnacentral:rRNA from 1 species
UACGUAGGGCGCAAGCGUUAUCCGGAAUUAUUGGGCGUAAAGAGCUCGUAGGCGGUUCGGCAAGUCGGGUGUGAAAUUUCGAGGCUCAACCUCGAAACGCCACUCGAUACUGCUGUGACUGGAGUCCGGUAGAGGAGUGCGGAAUUCCUGGUGUAGCGGUGAAAUGCGUAGAUAUUGGGAGGAACACCAGUGGCGAAGGCGGCUCACUGGACCGGUUCUGACGCUGAGGCGCGAAAGCGUGGGGAGCAAACGGGG